rnacentral:rRNA from 1 species
CACUCCUGCGGGAGGCAGCAGUGGGGAAUUUUGGACAAUGGGCGAAAGCCUGAUCCAGCAAUGCCGCGUGUGUGAAGAAGGCCUUCGGGUUGUAAAGCACUUUUGUCCGGAAAGAAAUCCUUGGCUCUAAUACAGUCGGGGGAUGACGGUACCGGAAGAAUAAGCACCGGCUAACUACGUGCCAGCAGCCGCGGUAAUACGUAGGGUGCGAGCGUUAAUCGGAAUUACUGGGCGUAAAGCGUGCGCAGGCGGUUUGCUAAGACCGAUGUGAAAUCCCCGGGCUCAACCUGGGAACUGCAUUGGUGACUGGCAGGCUAGAGUAUGGCAGAGGGGGGUAGAAUUCCACGUGUAGCAGUGAAAUGCGUAGAGAUGUGGAGGAAUACCGAUGGCGAAGGCAGCCCCCUGGGCCAAUACUGACGCUCAUGCACGAAAGCGUGGGGAGCAAACAGGAUUAGAAACCCGAGUAGUCCCA